CCCUUAGAUGUUCUGGGCCGCACACGCGCUACACUGAAGGAGGCAGCGUGUACUCCUGGAUCGAAAGAUUUGGGUAACCCGCGAAACUCCUUCGUGCUAGGGAUUGAGGUUUGCAAUUAUCCUUCAUGAACGAGGAAUUCCCAGUAAGUGCAAGUCAUAAGCUUGCGCUGACUACGUCCCUGCCCUUUGUACACACCGCCCGUCGCUACUACCGAUUGAAUGAUUUAGUGAGGACUUCGGACUGGGACCGAUGCGGCUUUCGGGCUGCGUCGGUAUUCUGGAAAGAUGUCCAAACUGUAUCAUUUAGAGGAAGUAAAAGUCGUAACA
rnacentral:rRNA from 1 species